rnacentral:tRNA from 1 species
GGGUGGCUCAGUGGUAGAGUGCUUGCCUAGCAUGUGUGAGGCACAGGGUUUGAUUCUCAGCACCA